rnacentral:rRNA from 1 species
AAGAUUAAACUGAAGAGUUUGAUCAUGGCUCAGAUUGAACGCUGGCGGCAGGCUUAACACAUGCAAGUCGAGCGGAAACGAUGGGAGCUUGCUCCCAGGCGUCGAGCGGCGGACGGGUGAGUAACGCGUAGGAAUCUACCCAGUAGAGGGGGAUAGCCCGAGGAAACUCGGAUUAAUACCGCAUACGCCCCAAGGGGGAAAGGCCGGGAUCUUCGGACCGGUCACUAUUGGAUGAGCCUGCGUGAGAUUAGCUUGUUGGUGGGGUAAUGGCCUACCAAGGCGACGAUCUCUAGCUGGUCUGAGAGGAUGAUCAGCCACACUGGGACUGAGACACGGCCCAGACUCCUACGGGAGGCAGCAGUGGGGAAUAUUGGACAAUGG